GAAAUCUCACCCCAGCCCAAUGAUGGACAGUUGCUGCUUGGUGGGUCACCCUGUGCCAUUACCUUCACAGAGCACGACCAUGGGCUCACCCCAAGCUCAUAACAUGUUUUUUUUUUCUGUUUCCCCUGGUAGGAUGUGAGAAAAUUUAUUCCUGAUUCAGUUCUGGGCACUGACAUCUCAUCCUUUUAAAUACGAUGAAAUACUAGGGGAAUCCUGCAAGUGGUCUGCACAAAACUGGACUCUGUCCUAGCACUGCUCUGUGGCCCUGAGAAAGAGAUGUGGAAGAUUUUGGCUCUUCAGAGAUGGCAGCAUCCCCACCCCACUGCAGCAAUGACCUCUGUGCAUCUUCUGUCUAUCAAGCAGGAUAAGUCCUUUCUCUUCUCACCUGCUUAUUUUUGGAUACCAACACUGCAAAUAGAAUAAGGCCCCUGAUCAACUCUACUCACUGCUACCUCUGCUGGUAACUGUGAGUUGACCUGACUAUGCUGGCAUCUCCUGCAGCGAUGGUGAGGUCUGCACAGCGACUAUUUCAGCAGGCACACAUGCCCAAACAAACCCUUUUUAAAAAUAAGCCCCCCUAACUUAUCUCUUACCAUCAGUAAGGGAGGCGAUGUUUCCCAGGUUCUCAGUGGUGAUCUCUGCAAUAUUCUCCAUCACGAGGAUCUGCCUGGACAGCUUAUCCAGGAGGCCUCUUGCCACAAAUGGUGUUUUACUGGAGAAUACAAUUUGCUGAUGAAGACAGAUGGGAAGAGAAGAAGUCAUUGAACAGAAACAAAACAAAACAAAACAACAACAACAAAACCAAACCAACCAAACAAAAAACCCCACCAAAACAAAACAACAACAACAAAAACAGAACAAAAAACUAAACCUCAGAAGAAAACAAAAACCUCCAAAACACUUUUGGCACCCGAAGAACUGCAAUUGCAAAUUCAUUGUCAGAAACCGUGGGAUCUCCUUAACUUCAAAAGUGGUUUUGUCUCUUGGAAAUUUUAUUGUCCUGGUUAAUACCUAUUGUUGCUCAUAUCUUUAACAUCUACAUUCAGAUCCAGGCCUAUUGAGUAUCCAAGCAGCCAUCUGCAUAAGCUAAUUUCCAAUUUAUACCCUCUGCAAAGCUGAAGGAAUCCAUUUUCAUAAGCCUUAAAGCCAGAAAAUAAUAUUAAUCUGACUUUCGUACAAUAUAUGCCAUGGACUCUGAGGACAUAUCUGCCUGGAGGCAGACCACAGGUCAUUCUUUCUCCACUCCGUUUCAGCUCUGAUCAACUACUCAGGUGUCUUUAUUAAUUUGGUUCUUUUUCUUUGCUAAUACUGCCUGCUGCUGACAUCUGCAUUUUCUUCAGCAUUCCAUGUAAAUAUUGUUCAUAUCAAAUCUGCUCCAUGUGUGGACGUAGUUCAAGUUUGCCUUCCCCAGCUGCAUAUUUACUGUGUACUCUUGUAUUUAAGCCAAAAACUUCCCUUUUUCUCAUACUUGUGAGCCAGCAGAGUGUCCAGCUCAGCACUAAGGGUGCUGGAAUCAAACUUGCUCUGUAUUGUUUCAGUGGGUCUUUGGGAAAAUAAAGCUGAUUACAUCUAAGAUGGAAGAUCCAAAUAAUUGCAAAGAGGAAGCUGCAGCAUGUUUUGAUUCAUCAGGAAAACCGUGAUGCCUUCACUUGCUAGAAUGGCUUGCUGGAGGGUUAAAAUUACAUUUUCCAUGCUUGGGCUCUGAAAAGAAGCCCUCUAAAAGGUUGCGCUUUUUAGUUGCGCGCACGAACAGACAAUUUUUAUGUCCCGGGGGGCUGUCAUGUGCUGUCUUUACUCUGUGUGCUGCAGACAAUCUUUCCAGCUCACAUGCAGAAAUUAGUUUCUGCUCCUGAAAAUCACAGCCUUGUCUGGGGUUUGGUUAAACAGUGGGGCCACGGGCUUCUCUUUUACCUCUGAAGACAUGGGCUGCCUUAACCAGGGACUGAUCUCACUGAGGACAUCUCAGUGAAGCUAGUGGACAUUUGUAACCCAGGGCUGGCCCUGUCAUCUGCUGCACUGCCCAUCAGUCCUGCUGGGCAGCACCUGCAAAAUUCCCUGUAGUUUGCAGAUCAGGUCUCUCCUGUGAGAUGGACCAGUACAGAAGUGUUGGAGCAUUUUCUAGUGUCACCUUCACCCCAUCAUGAUGGCUGUCUCAGCCACGUGGCUCACUGCCUCCCACGAGCAGCACUGGUUUUAAAUAAAAAGAGGGGAGAUUCAGGCUAGACAGGAGGAAGAAAUUUUUUACAAUGAGGGUGGUGAAACACUGGCACAUGUUGCCCAGAGAGGUGGUAGAUGCCCCAUCCCUGGAGACAUUCAAGGCCAGGCUGGAUGGGGCUCUGAGCAACCUGAUCUAGUUGCAGAUGUCUUUGUUCAUUGCAGGGACUAGAUGACUUUUGAAGGUCCCUUCCAACUCAAACUGUUCUAUGAUUCUAUGAUUCUAUCUGACCUUGUCAGCCUGCUCAUACCCUACAUCGCAGUCACACUAGUGCUUGCAGGGAAGAUUUUGUAAUACAUGUCCUAAAUGAGCUAGAUCUGGUACCUGAAUGAGCUGUGUGCAAUACUGCAAGUGCUUAACUAUGGUUAUAUCGAGGCUAUCGUUCCCUGUGGUCAGAGGCAGAGGGCUGCCAGCCACGCUGGUGCCCACACCCGUGUCCUCGGUGAGAGCUUCACUCAGGUGGCCUCUGGCUUCUGGGUGCUCCGUCCUGUAACUGGGGAGGGACAAGGGAGGAAGGUCAGUGCAGGGCCCACUGCCACGGCCAGCACACAGACACACACACGCUCACUCAAGACAAUGACCAAUGAGAGCAGCAAAAGAGCUGAAAGCAGCCAGAAACCUCGCGAUGAACACAUCAUAUCACAAAGGAGCAGAGCUGCCCUGGCCAGGCAUGGAAGGGCUGUCCCUGCCAUGGGGACAGCUCUCUGUCUCCUGACCAGUUUGCAUCCAGCCAUGCAAUGCCCUCACCAGCAGGCCUUGUUACCCCCUGGUUACUGUCAUUUGGUGGUGACAGUGUUUUCUCCCACCUGUUGGUAAAUUAUCUCCCCAGUGCUCUGGAUUAAGCACCACUAGAAUUUGUGCCAUUCCAAGCACCCAGCUGCUAAGAACAGCUCUGUGCUUUCAGUGUCCUCCUGGUGCCAAAUUUAAUGCUCAUUGCAGAAGAAAAGGAAAACCACUGCUGGAGUAAGAGACAUGAUGUUUUCAUAUGCUGUUUUAGGCACAACGCGUACAGUUUACUUCACCAGUCAUUUCUGUAAGAGCGUAAAGCUAGUUUCACUGUGUUUUGAAUCAUUAUUUCCAGCAUUGCCUUCUUGCCCAAAUGGUCCUCCCUAUGUUUAAAUGUAAAGGCCGAGGUCAGUGUACUUGGCUGCAAGUUCAGAAGUUUCAACACUUGCAGUCUUUACACCGAGUCACACACUUACACAUCUAAAAAUGGAAGUGUGAAUCUACACUGUCCAGAGAUGAGCCAAAAGGGAAGAAAGGAAAUUUUAACUUCUACUUUAACUUAAAAGAUUUCAUUUUUCUAAGUUAGCUUAUAACUAACUUAAAUUUUUGCUGCUUAAGUUAAUUUUAUGCUAAAGCGCCUAGUUAAAGCCAAAUCCUUAAAUCAACGCAGACUGAACUGAGCUCAGAGUGCCAGUUUAGCAAGCAAUGCAAUUUUCCAAGUUUUUCUUUCCACUAAGUCUUAUUCUGGAAAGAGGAUAUGCAUUGAGAUGAUGGGACUUGCACGAUGGUUGCUUAUUUGCACCCAGAAUUGUUUUAAACAAGCCACAAUAAACUGUAAGAAGUACAGCUUCCUAGCUGGAAAGUGUGGGGUGUGAGGGAAUGUUCUUUUUUCUCCCAGCUCUUAGUGCCACUUCUGUGGCUGUUGGAUGCAAACACGCUUUUAGGAUGUAAUGAUUGAAACACAGCAUCUUAAGGUCACACGACAAUGGCAGACCACGGCACAAACACCACAGCAUUUUUGUUUGUUUUUUUUUUUUCUCUCUCAGAAAGACCAGAAGUGAUGAAAGAAGGGCAGGUAACACGCAGGGCCAUGAACAGAGUACCAGUCAUCACUCUUACAUUCCAAAGGAAACCUACACCAUGCUGCUUAAAUCUGGCCCUGUGUUAUUGUUACUGACAAGCUUAAUCCACUGCAAAGACUCAUUCGGCUAGAGAGAAAAGACAAAGGGAGGGGGGAAAAACCACAGUGGAAUUAGUAAUUACAUCCAGAGAAAUCCAGGUCCAAACCUAUGUCAAGGAAGAGGCUCUGCCAGUAUUGAUGUCAGCUUAAUUUAAGUUACGCUUUUCCUUUGGAGGACAGAUUGCAAAUAUUUGAAAAUGAAAAAAAAAUUAUCCUGGAAGCUAAAGAUUUUUUAUGCAGCAGCACAGGGAACCCUCUGACCCUAUAACUCAUCAAGCGUUAGUCAGUCUUCCUUGAGUAAUGUGUGCACCAGGAACUGCUGUUAGCGACAAAGAGCUUGGGUAUCAGUUUGGCAUAAGCACAGCUGGCAGUUACUACAAACUUACCUAUUCUUCUCAAUCUCAGUAUCUGAAAACACUGAGUCUGCACCUCCUCCACCAUUACAAACCUCCACACCACCACCAUCCUCAUCAUCAAAGUCAGAGGUGUUCAGGAAAUCAAAGCUUUCUAAAGCACUUUCAACUGUUAGACUUAAACUGGAGGACCUGCUUCGGCUUACUGCUGGCUUGCACUGCAAAGGCAGAAUGAACCAAUGAAAACCCCAGAUAUUAGCUACUACUCAAAGAAAAGGAAAAAAAUAAAAAAAGGAUAAAGCUUAAAACUUUCAAAUUCUUCAUUUUUAUUUUUAAAACUUCAUUUUAUUGGAUGUUUCAUUUCAAACCUUCAUAUUCAUAGCAUAUACAAUCAAAACCUGAGAAGUGGAAAACCCUUCCCUUCCUCCUCCCAUCCCCAUCCUACCCGCUUUGUUCCCCAAAAGAAAACCCUCAAAGGCAAAAUUUCAUGUGUUUUGUAGAAAUGAGGAGUACCUCUUGAAUCCAAGUGACACAGCUUUUGGCAUCCUCCAAAAGGAGAGAUGGCAAUUAACACACUGGAAGUUGGAAGCAGAAGGCACAUUCCAUAAUUACUUUUCUAGUUAUAUGUAUCCAAUGGCACUAUCGGAUUUAUUCCAGAUGUAAUUCCAACUUAGCUUAACCAGGGAUAAAUUUGGUGCCAUAUCUGCAGAUCUAAACAUGGAAUGAGAGGACUUUUGUGGCCUUUGAAGCCACAUGGCUUAUCAAGGAAAAGGCAAUCACGUGUUGGAUUCCUAGGUGGCAGAGAAAGUCAGUACAAUAACUCAGGAAUUAACAGUGCUGGAGAGGGAGAAGCCAUGGCAUCUCUCUGCUGGGAAGAAGUGCAAUGGAAUCCUUGCUGCUGCUGUAGAAAGUAUCAAAGGCCUUGGUCCCAUGUGGCGAUUCAUCCAGACUUGCCCACAGCGCUGCUUCCAGGGUCACCUUGCAGGGUUGAAUGUAACUUGAGGGAUCACCUCCAUCAGUUUGUGCAACGACUUCACUAUGUGACCAGAAACCACCAGGAGCCACCACUGCCAUUCCAUAAACUUCAUCUUCCAGGCCCAGGCAAACGUCAGGACUUUGUCUUGGCUUGUAGAAAGAAAUGCACUGGCCUCCGAGUUCAGACUUGGCACCUUACCCUCUAGAACUGAGGAGGCGUAGAGUUUUGUGUGCAAUUCAUUAAUGCUAUAAUGGUGAUACAUUAGCACUUAGGAUGCUUGACACCUUAAGCUGUUUGUGUAGUCAGCAGCUGAUCAAACAUCACGUCUGUGACACAGAUGGGUGCUGUAUCCCACUUUCUCAGCACCACUGAUGAUUUUAGCUACCAUUUCUUUCAGGGCUGCUAGUGCAGCUUCUUCAGGCAAAAGCAAACAGCAAGAUGUGGGCUUCUCCUUUUGUCUGCCCAUCUGAUACAGCCAAGAGAGAUUUCUUCAGCCAUAGCUGGAUUCCAACUCAACCUUUGUGCAUGGGUAGCCCAGCAGGGCUGCUGGUGAUGCCGAGCGUUGGUCUGCAAGCUGAUCAAUAGGCAGCACACGGACAUAAAGCAUAUCUGGAAAAGGCAUCCUUCUCCAGUGUGCAGGAGUCCCACAUGCACACAUCCAUUCUCUCUCUUCCCCUGCAUCCCAUGUCUGUGCCUUUUAAUUUCUGAUAAAAGGAGUGUAAAUAAACAGUCUCCAUUGUCCCUCUGCUUUUUGGAUAGUUGACCUCUUUGUACAAGCUGCAGAGCAGCCAAGAAGUUAAAAAAUGAUAGCAAUGGUAGCUUUGCCUGCUCAAACACCCUUGGGAAAUAAUGCGAGAAACAGGGGCUGCAGGCUGUCGAAAAAGCAUUUAAUUUGGGAAAGUACCAUGCAGCUGCAAACACCAAUGGAAACGAAGAUGUUAAUAAUGUUUCUUUGUAAAAAGAUAAUGCUGAAGGAAAAAUGCUUCCCUCCUUCCUCGUCAGCUAUGUUUUUAAAUGAGGAGGCUUAAAUGAUUAGCAGACCAACUUGCAUAUGAAUAUGAAGCAUUUGAAAUGAUUAUUGCCCAUAUAAUACUCUUUGCACAGUAAUGCGUCAUGAGUUAUUAUUCAUGAAGGAGAUAUGAGUCACAGUGAUCGGCAGUAAACUUAUUAAAAACACACAUGCAAAACUCUUUUCUUCUUUCUGUAAUACUUUUCAACAUGUUACGUCCAUCCUGGUUUAAUGACAGGAUGUUUCUCAUUUUAAAAAUGGAUGGGGGAAAAGAAAAAGUCUUGGGAAAAGCCUAAGUAAUGUGAGGAUGGCAACCUUCAGUGAGACUUGUGCUUCCAAAUCUCUGGCAAUUUAGAAAAUUCAGCUUCUGUGGCUACAAGGCCUGAUCCUCAGCUGGUGUUAAUUUUGCAUAGCUCCAUGGAGUUCAGGGAUAGUAUGCUAAAGUACACCCACUGAGGAUUUGACUCAUAGAUUUUAAAAACAGAAGGCUGGGUAUGAUCUGGUCUCCACUAUGGCACAAGCAAGGGGUUCACAAGUGGUUUCUUCACAGAAGGUUAUAAUGUAAUUACCCCUCUGCUACUGCACCUUUUUCUCUUUCCCCCAGGUUUCCAGUAAAUGAAAAGAUCCAUUGCUUGAGGAUACAAGGCUAUAGAAAGCCCGUUGCAGACAAGUUUAAAAAUGCAACACUGUGACAGGAUGCUCCAAGCAGGAGCAAAUCUACUGCAACUAAGGAAUUUUACUGAUCUCCAAAAAGCCUACUUCGAUGUUUGUGAGGCAGGGGAGGAGAUUCUAUCUGCUCAGAUUUUCUUUACAGCAGUAUUUUCCAAAAAUGUACUCACUUUUAGGAUGUCAUCCAGAUGCAUCACUUCUUGGUCCAGGUCCUGAAACUCUUUAUACUGCUCUUUAUGUGGCUCAAGAGCUAAGAGAAGCCCUUGCAAGGCUUCUUCAAUGCUUCCAUCGAGAUAAGACUUAUAUCCUUCUGACUCCCCACUAAUGGAUCCCUCACACGGCAGCUUCUCUGGGGUCACGGGUGCCUCUGCCGACGUCAGCCUUUUCACCAGCUGCUUCGUGAUAUUGCCCUCGUAGGUAUCCAGCUCCACAGGCUUAAGCUCCGAACCUUCAUCCGUGUCCUGCAGCAGAGACACCGGGACGCUUGUCUCUAUAAAGACGCCAUCGCUCCCAGCAUCAGAGUUGUUUUGGCAAACAUCAGGAGCUGCCCUUGGGGUGACCUUGUUCUCAACCACUGCUCCCUCUCCCUGGGACAGCAGGUCCUUGGGCUCAGCAACAGAGUCUCUGCGGGAGUCGCUGCUGCUGCAGUUCAGGCUUGAGCUCCUGGAGGACGUGAGGGCUCGGUGCUGGGUGGGGGUGGCAGUGAUGUCAGGGCUGGAGCUGACGUGAGCAGAAGAGGACUCUGCUGCGUUGGCGGGGGGCAUGUGGUCUUUGUAAGGCAGGUCGCCAAAAGUGAAAGAGAGAGGCCUCUUCUCAGUGGUGGCAGUCCCGUUCUCAAAGACGUCAUCUGGCAAAUUCGC